GCUCUGCUCUUCCCACCUCCCUUCCUCAGCGCCGCGCCCGGGACAGGCGCGAGACUGGGCUUUUAUUAGGAAGGCACGAUCCUGGGAACCGCUCCUUGUGCCCAAUGUAAAACUUCUCAACAGUUCUAUUAAGGAAUAAUAAGUAAUACUUGGAAGGAUGAGAGGUAGAAAUUGCAGACGACUUUUUUUUUAAUAGAAUCUUUUUUUGAAGAGAUUUUUCUAAUGCAGAUUCGUCAGCCACGCCCAGCCCAUCUAACCAUCAUCUCUGAAAAUAAUUGAAUAAUUAUGUAUAAUAAUGGUGAUGAUGGCUUGUAUUCUUUUUCAAGUAUGUGGGCGAUAUUUUUAUGAUGCAUUGCCAACAAAUGACCCACGUAAAUAUCUAUCAUUUAAGUAUGAUGCACUGAAAAGAAUUCUAUACAGAAUCCUGAAACCUGCCAGCCAUUGACUAGCUAUGUUAUGGAGGGCAAAAUUGCGGCACCAUUCUGGGUGUUUCCAUAGUGAUAGAAUGGAAGUCUAAAUUAGACGCUCUGAAGACUUCUCACCUG
rnacentral:lncRNA from 10 species